UGACACUUUUAAAUAAUAUUUAUUUCAACCGAGCCAAGUCUUUUCAUUCCUCUCCACUGUAGUCUCUUAUUCAAAUACCGACCAUACGGCGAGACAAAAAAUUCCUGGUUGUGACGUCACGGGGUUCACGAUGCUUAUAAGCAGCCAAGAGUGGAUGGGCGACCUCAGUAAGCAUCUCCGAGUGAGGUCACUCAAGAAGAAGGCAGGUUUCCCUCCCCAACGGUUACUUCAACGAUGAAGCUUCUUCAUCAACUCUUCAAGUUGUUGAUCUGCUUGACGCUGAUUGGCGGCACCAGUUUCGUGAGAGCUGCCGACCCUACCAUCAUAGGAGGACGCAACGCUUAUAGACCGAGUACAGGAAUCUUAUUCUCAGACGACGAUAGUUACUACAGCCCUCCGAUCGUCUUCGGGCCUAGACGUCCCCAGUGGCGGCCUCAGUAUCAGAAUCCCUACGGAGGUGGUUGCCAGCAUUUCUGGUGUUUAUUCUUCCAGUGACGUCGACUUGUGCACCUCACGGUUUAGCAGUAUGAGGUAAACUGUGUCAAUUACAAAUACACUCACACUUGAAAGGUGUAUGUA